rnacentral:rRNA from 1 species
UACGUAGGGGGCAAGCGUUGUCCGGAAUCAUUGGGCGUAAAGAGUGUGUAGGCGGCCAGAAAAGUCCGCUGUGAAAACUCGAGGCUCAACUUCGAGCUGGCGGUGGAAACUUUCUGGCUAGAGUCCGGAAGAGGAGAAUGGAAUUCCUGGUGUAGCGGUGAAAUGCGCAGAUAUCAGGAAGAACACCCGUGGCGAAGGCGGCUCUCUGGGACGGUACUGACGCUGAGACGCGAAAGCGUGGGGAGCGAACAGG